rnacentral:rRNA from 1 species
AAUCAACGCUGGCGGCGUGCCUAACACAUGCAAGUCGAACGCGAAAGUCCCGCAAGGGAUUAGUAGAGUGGCAAACGGGUGAGUAACACGUGGGUGACCUGCCUUCGAGCGGGGGAUAACGUCCCGAAAGGGACGCUAGUACCGCAUAACAUCCUGCCUUUAAGAGGCGUGAUCAAAGCCGGGAUUCGCAAGAACCUGGCACUUGAAGAGGGGCCCGCGCCUGAUUAGCUAGUUGGGGGGUAAUGGCUUACCAAGGCAACGAUCAGUAUCCGGCCUGAGAGGGCGGACGGACACACUGGGACUGAGACACGGCCAGACUCC